rnacentral:rRNA from 1 species
CCUACGGGGGGCAGUAGUGAGGAAUAUUGGUCAAUGGACGAGAGUCUGAACCAGCCACGUAGCGUGAAGGAUGACUGCCCUCUGGGUUGUAAACUUCUUUUAUAUGGGAAUACAACGUUUCUCGUGUGCGAUAUUGUAUUUACCAUAUGAAUAAGGAUCGGCUAACUCCGUUCCAGCCGCCGCGGUAAUACGGAGGAUCCGAGCGUUAUCCGGAUUUAUUGGGUUUAAAGGGAGCGUAGGUGGAUUGUUAAGUCAGUUGUGAAAGUUUGCGGCUCAACCGGAAAAUUGAAGUUGAAACUGGCAGUCUUGAGUACAGGAGAGGAGGGUGGAAUUCGUGGUGUAGCGGUGAAAUGCUUAGAUAUCACGAAGAACUCCGAUUGCGAAGGCAGUUCACUGGACUGCAACUGACACUGAGGCGCGAAAGUGUGGGUAUCAAACAGGAUUAGAUACCCUAGUAGUC